AGCAUUGCACAGUGUCAGUAUUGUAGACAAUGAGGUUUAUUCGGGGUGUGAUUAUUAGUAAUUGAAAAUUUUUCCCAGUACCCCUCCAUGAUGACUUGAAAUGUAGUCAGUAUUUUACAUUCAACUGAGAA
rnacentral:snRNA from 1 species